GGCAGCCAUAUGUGGCCGCAGGUUCCCCACCCCUGAACUAGGACCUUUCCCAGUCAAAGUACGGAAAUAAGUUUGCAUCUAAAAAUUAUUUGGUUGUUAGUUAUGCAAAUUAUGAAAUUGUAUGUGUUAAUAAGUGGUAUAUGUUAUUAGACCUUAAAUUCAAAGAUUUUAAUCUUGCCCUAUGGGUGGUAAAUAGGCAAUAACAGACUGAAGACUUACUAAAGACAGAAUUUUCUGGGGGGUUUUGCACCAACUAUUCACUGUAUGUGAAAACUAGUAUUCACUAUCUAUGUGUGAAACUCCAGAAUAAUGAAAGAAUGUUUACCAUACAUACUGAAAUAUGAGAGAAGGAACAGUAAUCUAAAUAAUAACUCUAAAACUGUAAUUAGUAAAAUUUUGUCAUGAGGUAAAAUCUUGUGGAAUUUAUAAUUGGAUAUUUUUCUAAGUUUUGAUUUCAGGUAUGAUUAUCUGAACUAUCAAGAAGCCAAUAAUCCACCAUUCAAAGGGGAAUGCCAGUGACGCCCAAAGAAAGUACAGUCUGAGAACUGCCACAGGUGGAUGUCUAUACCUGGGACAGUGAAAGGGAUGACCCUGUACAAGCAAAGAUUUCUAUUGGGACAGAAGUGAGGAUGAGAAAAGAGUCAAGCAUAAUGCCAAGCUGGAAGAAUGGCUGUCCUUUUGACAGAAAUAAGAGAUGUUUAGAAAAGAGUGGAAUUGCCUGCUGAACAACAUUUUGAAUUCAACAAAGUCAAUAUUUGACAACAGAGAAACAGAGCCUAUAGGGACUACAGAGACUUAACAAACAGCUUUUGGGUACCGUGUAAGGAUAUCUACUCCCUCUGCUACCUGGUCUUGGGAAUCAGAAGGUACCUGCUUCAUCUGAUAUACAAGU